AUGGGUCACAUCUUAUGUAUUAUUUUGGCUUCCCAUUAUUCUCUGAACAAACAGUAGAUACACAACGAGUGUUUUCAAAUUUCACUUGGUCCUAUCCCAGCAAACUUUACUGGAAAACCCUAAAGCUAUUAAAAAGGAGCCAUUCUCCUCUAACAAUUUAAUCAAAAUUAAUUGUUAAAUACUGAGCUUACUGUUUAAAAUAAUUUUCUGGUCUCUUGCAAUAGUGAGAAAACAAAGGGAAAAGAUUCCGAGUCAUAUCAAACUGUAACUGGGCAGCUCCUCCUUCAUUGAAGUGAUUAGCAAGAAUUAUCUGAAAGAAAGAACAAUUCAUAUAACAGCUGCCUUUAUCAUCACAGCCCAAAAAUAUAGUCUACUCCUACUUACUUCUUGGUAGAGGUAUAUAUCCAGCUUCUCUACAAGCAUUUGCCAGAAAAUUUUAAAUAAGGAGAAACAAAGCUGCUGCUCCAACUGAAGUAAACGGUCUCGUAACGUAAGCAACAACGGGCAGGCUGAACUGGACAGGGACAUGACUGCCUGCUCAGACUGAGACGGCAAGGACAACCAUCUGAAAAAAACACAUUCACUUUUACCUUUGAAUUCUUCAUCACUUUGUGUUUUCAAGUUUUAACAAAUCAUUUUAAAUGUGGGGAAGUGUACUGUCCUAGGGCAUUUUUGGAUAUGACAAAAUGUACAGCCUAACAUUAAAAGCUCUAUCAGAAAAUAA